AGUGAACGCUGGCGGUAGGCCUAACACAUGCAAGUCGAACGGAAGCACAGUAAGAGCUUGCUCUUACGGGUGGCGAGUGGCGGACGGGUGAGGAAUACAUAAGAAUCUACUUUGUCGUGGGGGAUAUCGUAGGGAAACUUACGCUAAUACCGCAUACGUCCUACGGGAGAAAGCAGGGGAUCUUCGGACCUUGCGCGAUUGUAUGAGCCGAUGUCGGAUUAGCUAGUUGGCGGGGUAAAGGCACACCAAGGCGACGAUCCGUAGCUGGUCUGAGAGGAUGAUCGGCCACACUGGAACUGAGACACGGUCCAGACUCCUACGGGAGGCAGCAGUGGGGAAUAUUGGACAAUGGGCGCAAGCCUGAUCCAGCCAUGCCGCGUGAGUGAAGAAGGCCUUCGGAUCGUAAAGCCCUUUUGUUGGGAAAGAAAAGCAGCAGGUUAAUACCCCGCUGUUCUGACGGUACCUAAAGAAUAAGCACCGGCUAACUUCGUG
rnacentral:rRNA from 1 species